rnacentral:tRNA from 1 species
UGAAAUAUUAAGCAAAGAAUAGUUUAAUGUGAGAAUCCUAGCUUUGGGAGUUAGGGGUAGAAGUUAAAAUCUUCUUUCUUUGA